UUGGUGAAACUGACCUGACCUAAUAGCUGCAGCAAUAUCAUAAAUGUUGGCUGCCCAUGAGCAUUUUUAGCAUGCGUUCAAAUUAAAUAUGGGGCUUGAGUGUUUGUAAAAACAACAACAAAAAUAUUUAAAUUAUUUUUUUAAAAAGCCACAAUUGUCCCACUAUCACGUCACGUGAAGUAGUGGUAAUUGCACCUAUGAAUGGGUCAUAGAACUUCAAAAUGAGUUUUAAAUUAAUCAUUUUAUAAACAGAUUUUUAUUCAAGUAAGGUUCUUAUUCUAAAUGUUUAUGUUUGUAAAUUCUGUGGGACUGUGACGCGUUUUAAUUUGCGUGCGCGUGAACACUCGAGCUGCCUUCAAACCCUGGAGCGGAGAUGAGUUGCCAUGGAAACGGCGCGGGGCGCGACCGCACUACUGCAACUGUCAGCAAAACUCCGUCUCUCGCUGUUGUUUUCACUGCUUUCAGCAGCAACACAAAUAAUCCCUCUUCAACAGAGGAAAGCUCAAAAAUGUCAACAUUUCUGAAGAAAGAUGCUGCCAGAGAAGUGGAAAACACAGACAGAGAUCCUUCCAUGCAGAUGCCCUGCACCGUAGCAGAGUUGAGCUGAUCAUCAUCUCUAAGGCGCUAUCACCAUUAUGAUUAGAUGCUCAGCAAGUUCACUAGAGAUUACAGCAGCUCCGUGUGGAUCCAGCCUCACUCGUGAAGACUUCAGAUGACACCAACACUCACAAAGACUUCAGAUGGUGGCAACUAUAGAUGGACACAAAACUGCCAGAUAUUGCAUUGGCCCGGUUUCACACACAGGGUUUAGAUUAAACCAGGUUUAGGCCUUCGUUAAAUUAGGAUAUUUAAGUAGCUUUUUAAAAUGUACUUCAGAAAAAAAAAGAAGGAAAAAAAAACAUUACUGGUGUGCAUCUCUUGAGACAAACCAGUGACAUUGAAAUAUUUUAAGAUAUGUCUGUGCAAGUUGCUUCCAGUUAAGACAGUUCAAAAAUGCAUUUUAGUCUGGGACUAUCUUAAGCCUUUUCUGUGGAACCAGGGAAGGGAAGGGAACGUUUGCAUGACAGUUUUGCUGACAAAUAAACAGGAAUAUCUUAGUAUACCUAACUAGGAGAAAGAGUAAACAUUGU